rnacentral:misc_RNA from 1 species
UUGUUGUUCUCCUAUAGGGAU